AUAUAGCUGGUUCUCCGCGAAAUGCAUUUAGGUGCAGCGUCGUGCGUUCAACGAUGGGGGUAGAGCACUGAAUGGGCUAGGGGUCCUACAAGACUACCGACCCCAAUCAAACUCCGAAUACCAUCGUUCCAGAGCACGGCAGUGAGACCUCGGGGGAUGAGCUUCGAGGUCGAGAGGGAAACAGCCCAGACCGCCGGCUAAGGUCCCAAAAUCUGAACUAAGUGGUAAACGAUGUGAGAUUGCGAAGACAGCCAGGAGGUUGGCUUGGAAGCAGCCAUCCUUGAAAGAGUGCGUAACAGCUCACUGGUCGAGUGAUCUUGCGCGGACAAUGUAACGGGGCUCAAGUUCAGUACCGAAGCCGCGGAUGCGACUCUUUGAGUCGUGUGGUAGCGGAGCGUCGAGCGUGCAGCGAAGCGGCGGGACAACCCAGCCGUGGAGCGCGUUCGAGUGCGAAUGUUGGCAUGAGUAGCGAAUGAGGGGUGAGAACCCCCUCCGCCGUAUGUCCAAGGGUUCCUGGGCGAGGCCAAUCCUCCCAGGGUGAGUCGGGAGCUAAGGCGAGGCCGAGAGGCGUAGUCGAUGCACAACUGGUUGAUAUUCCAGUACCACCAUGUUCGCGUCCGUCCCAAUACUCUGUUGCUAAGGGGCUGUGUUGACUUCGGUCAACGCGAACCGACCCACAUUGUUGCGGGAAGCUGUAGGGGGACGCAGGAAGGUAGAUGAACCCGGUGAAUGGUAGAACCGGGGUAAGCGUGUAGGAGGAGGACCAGGUAAAUCCGGGCCUCAUAAACUCUGAGACGUGAUACCGAGCCGCUUCAGGCGAAGUCAUUGAUCCUAUGCUGCCUAGAAAAGCCCAGCAGCGAGUUGACAUGGUGCCCGUACCCCAAACCAACACAGGUGGACAGGUAGAGCAUACCAAGGCGAGUGGGAUAACUAUGGUUAAGGAACUCGGCAAAUUGCCUCCGUAACUUCGGGAGAAGGAGGACCCCAGUAGCGUGAUGAGACUUGCUCUCUGAGCGUGAAGGGGUGGCACAAAAUUGAGGGAAGCGACUGUUUACCAAAAACACAGCAGCGUGCUAAGCCGUAAGGCGCUGUAUACGCUGUGACUCCUGCCCGGUGCUGGAAGGUUACGGGGAUGGGUUAGUCCUUCGGGACGAAGCUCUGAACCUAAGCCCCAGUAAACGGCGGCCGUAACUAUAACGGUCCUAAGGUAGCGAAAUUCCUUGUCGGGUAAGUUCCGACCUGCACGAAUGGAGUAACGACUUCCCUACUGUCUCAACCAUAGACCCAGCGAAAUUGAAGUACGAGUAAAGAUGCUCGUUAGCUGCAGAAGGACGGAAAGACCCCGUGGACCUUUACUAUAACUUGAUGUUGUGUUUUGAC
rnacentral:rRNA from 1 species